CCGAGUGAGGUUCUGGAGCCAACUCCCAACCCCGUGUUAACUAUACCUAUCGUUGCUUCGGCGGGCCACUGGGCCCGUCCUGGUCGCCCUCGGGGCCGUGAACCCCAGGGCCGGCCCGCCGGAGACCCCUGAAACUCUGAGUGAAUUCGAGUGUAGUAUGCGUCUGAGUAACAUCAAUAUUA
rnacentral:misc_RNA from 1 species